rnacentral:rRNA from 1 species
AGGUCAGAGGUAAGGAAUUAAAAAUAGAAAUCGGCUCUGCCGAUUUCACAAAAAUUCCGACAUCCGACUUCCGACUUCUGACUUCCGAUACUAGUGGCGGACGGGUGAGUAACGCGUGGGCAACCUACCCAUAAGCGGGGGAUAACAGUUGGAAACGACUGCUAAUACCGCAUAAGCUAUUAAGGUCGCAUGACCAUAAUAGUAAAGGUAGCGAAAGCUAUCACUUAUGGAUGGGCCCGCGUCUGAUUAGCUAGUUGGUGGGGUAGCAGCCUACCAAGGCAACGAUCAGUAGCCGGCCUGAGAGGGUGGACGGCCACACUGGGACUGAGACACGGCCCAGACUCCUACGGGAGGCAGCAGUGGGGAAUAUUGCGCAAUGGGGGAAACCCUGACGCAGCGACGCCGCGUGAGCGAAGAAGGCCUUAGGGUCGUAAAGCUCUGUUGUAAGGGACGAAUGUUUAUCUGGCGAAUAGUCAGAUAAAGUGACGGUACCUUACCAGCAAGCCCCGGCUAACUACGUG